rnacentral:rRNA from 1 species
UACACUCCUACGGGAGGCAGCAGUGGGGAAUAUUGCACAAUGGGCGCAAGCCUGAUGCAGCCAUGCCGCGUGUAUGAAGAAGGCCUUCGGGUUGUAAAGUACUUUCAGCGGGGAGGAAGGCGAUAAGGUUAAUAACCUUGUCGAUUGACGUUACCCGCAGAAGAAGCACCGGCUAACUCCGUGCCAGCAGCCGCGGUAAUACGGAGGGUGCAAGCGUUAAUCGGAAUUACUGGGCGUAAAGCGCACGCAGGCGGUCUGUCAAGUCGGAUGUGAAAUCCCCGGGCUCAACCUGGGAACUGCAUUCGAAACUGGCAGGCUAGAGUCUUGUAGAGGGGGGUAGAAUUCCAGGUGUAGCGGUGAAAUGCGUAGAGAUCUGGAGGAAUACCGGUGGCGAAGGCGGCCCCCUGGACAAAGACUGACGCUCAGGUGCGAAAGCGUGGGGAGCAAACAGGAUUAGAAACCCUUGUAGUCCCA